UACGAAGGGGCGAGCGUUAUUCGGAAUCACUGGGCGUAAAGCGUGCGUAGGCUGUUCUGCAAGUCAGGAGUGAAAGCCCAAGGCUCAACCUUGGAAGCGCUCUUGAAACUGCAGGACUAGAAUUUGGGAGAGGAUAGCGGAAUUGUCAGUGUAGCAGUGAAAUGCGUAGAUAUUGACAGGAACACCAGUGGCGCAAGCGGCUAUCUGGACCAACAUUGACGCUGAGGCACGAAAGCGUGGGGAUCAAACAGG
rnacentral:rRNA from 1 species